GCUCGGGACCUCGGCUGCUCCGGGCGCAGGCCGGACUGCGGCCAUGGCCUCGGCGGCAGUGGAGAGCUUCGUGACCAAGCAGUUGGACCUGCUGGAGCUCGAGAGGGACGCGGAGGUCGAGGAGCGCAGGUCCUGGCAGGAAAAUGUCUCUCUGAAAGAACUCCAGAGCCGAGGCGUCUGCUUGCUGAAGCUGCAGGUAUCCAGCCAGCGGACCGGGCUGUACGGACGGUUGCUGGUCACCUUUGAGCCCAGGAGAUGCAUAUCUGCAGCUGUGCUUCCCAGUAACAGCUUUACUUCCGGUGACAUAGUGGGUCUGUAUGAGGAAGACAGUCAGCUGGCCACUGGGAUCCUGACCCGGAUCACCCAGAAAUUGGUCACCGUGGCCUUUGACGAGUCCCAUGAUUUCCAGUUGAGUUUGGACCGAGAGCAUUCCUACAGGCUGUUAAAACUUGCCAACGACAUCACUUAUAAGCGACUGAAAAAAACUCUGAUUACCCUAAAGAAGUAUCAUUCUGGCCCCGCGUCCUCGCUCACAGAGGUGCUCUUUGGCGGAUCAGACCCCAGCCCUGCCAGUGAGAUACCCCCCCUGACUUUCUACAACGCCACUCUGGACGCCUCCCAGCAGGAAGCGGUCUGGUUCGCGCUGUCCCAGAAGGAACUCGCCAUCAUCCAUGGGCCUCCUGGCACCGGGAAGACCACCACUGUGGUUGAAAUCAUUCUCCAAGCUGUGAAACAGGGCUCAAAGGUCCUGUGCUGCGCCCCCUCUAACAUCGCCGUGGACAACCUAGUCGAGCAGCUGGCCCAGUGGAAGCAGAGGCUCCUGCGCCUCGGGCACCCCGCACGGCUCCUGGAGUCCGUGCAGCAGCAUUCCCUGGACGCGGUCUUGGCGCGGGGUGACGGCACCCGGAUUGUGGCUGACAUCAGGAAGGACAUCGACCAGGUCUUGGCAAAAAGCAAGAAGACCCAGGAUAAGAGAGAGAAAAGUAAUUUUCGAAAUGAAAUCAAGCUGUUAAGGAAGGAGCUGAAGGAGAGGGAGGAAGCAGCCAUGCUGGAGAGCCUGGUGGCGGCCAACGUGGUCCUCGCGACAAACACAGGUGCCUCUUCGGAUGGUCCCCUGAAGCUGCUGCCAGACGGCCACUUCGACAUGGUGGUCAUUGACGAGUGUGCCCAGGCCCUGGAGGCCAGCUGCUGGAUCCCCCUGCUGAAGGCCAGGAAAUGCGUCCUGGCCGGAGACCACAAACAGCUGCCCCCCACCAUCAUCUCUCACAAGGCCGCACAGGCGGGGCUGUCGCUGAGCCUGAUGGAGCGCCUGGCGGAAGGGCAUGGCGCCAGGUCGGUACGGAUGCUGAGCGUGCAGUACCGCAUGCACCAGGCCAUCGCGCGCUGGGCCUCGGAGGCCCUGUACCAUGGACAGCUCACGACCCACCCUUCCGUGGCCGGGCACCUCCUGCGGGACCUCCCGGGGGUGGCUGCCACGGAGGAGACGGGUGUCCCGCUGCUGCUGGUGGACACGGCCGGCUGCGGGCUGUUUGAGCUGGAGGACGAGGAUGAGCAGUCGAAAGGGAACCCCGGUGAAGUGCGCCUUGUCAGCCUGCACGUCCAGGCGCUGGUGGACGCCGGUGUCCAGGCCGGCGACAUUGCCAUCAUCACGCCGUACAACCUGCAGGUGGACCUGCUGAGACAGAGCCUCACGCACAGGCACGCGGAGCUCGAGAUUAAGUCCGUUGACGGCUUCCAGGGCCGAGAGAAGGAGGCUGUGGUCCUGUCCUUCGUCAGAUCCAACAGGAAAGGUGAGGUUGGCUUCCUCGCCGAGAACCGGCGCAUCAAUGUGGCCAUCACCCGCGCCCGGCGCCACGUGGCCAUCGUCUGUGAUUCUCGCACCGUCAACAGCCAUGCCUUCCUGAAGACCCUGGUGGACUACUUCACGGAGCACGGGGAGGUGCGCACAGCCUUUGAGUAUCUCGACGACAUCGUCCCUGAGAACUACUCCCGUGAGGGUGCCCAGGGCCCUGGCCAGGCCGGCACGAAGCCCCGCGGCUCUGCUGCGACGGCCAGGAGGGCUCCCGGGAGCAGGCGGCCCACGGGGGCCGCGCUGGGUCAGAAGAAGCGCGGCACGGUGCCUUUGUCCUCCGAGGCCCAGCCUCAGCCCAGCCUCAACGGAGGCGGCCAGGAGGGAGCCAGGAGCAGAGACGGCGCAGAGCAAUUCAGGGCCGUGAUAAUGGAGUUCGUGGCCAGUGAGAAGACACAGCUAGAGUUCCCUGCCUCCCUGGAUUCGCUAGACAGGAUGUGGGUCCAUCAGAUUGCGGAAGAGUACGGGCUGAGGCACGAAAGUGCCGGGGAGGGGAAGGAACGGUUCAUCACCGUGAGCAAGAGGGUCCCACCGGCCCCUGCGGCUCCAGCACCCCCGGCAGGGCCUGGCAGCAAAGCCCCUCUGUGUCCAGAGCCCCCCAGCCCUGCGCAGACAGAGCCCCCCAUCGGGGAGCAGAGCAGCCGGGGCCAGCCGGACCUGAAGGCGCUGCACCUGGACAGACUGCAGAGGGCGGGGAGCCAGCAGGAGCCGCGGGCCACGGGCUCCGGGCCGCGGAAGUUAGCAGAAAAGAAAAAGAAGAAAGAAGCAGAAGGACCCACGACCAUAGAUCUGUCCGCCGGGGAGGACUUUGACGCCCUGGUCUCGGCUGCCAUCAAGGCUGACAACACUUGCGGCCUCGCCAAGUGCACAGCCAGCGUCGUAACCCUGGGCCAGCUCUGUCUGCACUGCAGCCGCCGUUACUGCCUCAGCCACCACCUGCCCGAGAUCCACGGCUGCGGGGAGAGGGCUCGUGCCCAUGCGCGGCAGAGGAUUAACCGGGAAGGUGUCCUCUACGCUGGCAGCGGGACCAAGGACAGGUCCCUGGACCCUGCCAAGAGGGCGCAGCUGCAGAGGAGGCUGGACGAGAAGCUGGACCAGCUGACCGGCCGGCGGAGGGGCAAGAGGAAGGAGACGGGGAAGUGAGGCCGGGAACCCCACUGCCUGCACCGCCUCUGUGUCUGAAGCUGUGGCUGCCGGUGCGCGGGGCUGCCCCCGGCGUCUUUCUGUCCCCGGCGGCAGCUCCUGGCGACAGUGCUGCAGGCAGAGCCACGCCGUCUUCCCGGUGACGGGUGAGGGGGCUGCGGGAGCCCCGGGCGGUUAGCUGCUCUGACGCGGUGGGUCGCGGUGGAGAGGCCGGGGGCACAGCUAGGGCCAGUGGCCGCUUCUCAGGGCUGCUAUAGGGAAGGCCCUGGAGUGCUGCAUCCCCUUCCUCACUCCCGGCCCAGGCCAUUCCCCGAGAUCCUGCCCUCGGAAUCAUGGGCUGCUGCUUCCGGCGUCGGGAAGGUUCUGUUCCCUCGGACACCUGCCUGGGCCUCAAACUCCAUAAAAGUGAUGUCCCCGCCGUCCAGGGCUGGCCAGCGUUCAGCCCGUCAGGGAUGACCCACAGCCACCCCUCCGGCCAUCUAGAGGAAGCCUGUCUGCAGGAGAGCAGGAGGCCAACACAGAAGCAGCGCCAAAACUGGGUGUGGGGGAAUAACCUGAUCACAUCGAGCACCUGGAUCCAGCCUCACCUGAUCCCCAGCCCAUUCUUCUCAGUGUCCCGGACUAACAAAUCCGCUUUUCCAGCUGAGGAAAGUCUGCCUUGGGUUUCCGUUGCUAGCAGCUAAAAGGGUCUUCGCUGACCCAGUUGUGCCCACGUCUGUGUAUCUUAUUGGGUCUAUCCAGUCCCAGCACAGAGGCGGUGCCGAGUCAGGGCACCAGAAAGGGCAGGUCCUGUACCUUCAUCCCGUGGGCCAUCCCGCCAGGAAGAGCUCGAAGUAGAGGAAGGAAGUUGGCGCGGGGGUGGCGGGAGACCUCCCGAGUUGGGGGGCCCUGCGUGUGGAUGCCAGCUCUACUGAAUGUGGCUUCUUCUGUCACAGGGACGGGAAUGGGCCGCCUCUCCGGCUCUGCUGGGAAGUCUGCAGCAUGGCAGUGGGCAGCGGGCAGUGGGCAGUGUGUGUUGGCAAGGCCUGGGCCGGGCUACUGGGCUCUUGGCAGUGCCCCGUGUGGUUUGCUGUGGUUGCCUCACACCCCUGCCCCGCAUGGAGCCUUCACCCCUCCACCACUGCCCUCCACUCAAGCCGGCU